AUAAGAAGUGCUUUUUUUUAUAUGAAAAAAAUGAGAGGACACGUGUAGUGAUAAAACAGUGCAUGUCUUGCACCUAGUGUUUAUUUGAAUCCAUAUGUAAGUGGUUUAGUUAGCUCACGUAUGAGUAUGGUCAAUUAUAUAUGUACACAUGAAAGCAUUAAAAAAAAAGGAAGAGAAGAGGGGGGAGAGAAAAAGAUUAAAGAAAAACGUAGAGGAAACUUCAGUUGAUGAGAUGAGAAAAUAAUGAAAAAAGGAAAUUGAGAGGUAAGGAAAAGCUCAUCAGAACUCGUGUAUAUAGGCUAUAUCUACGAGCAAGUCAAGGUCGGAGUAUGGAAACUCGAGUUAAGGAAAUUAAACAAACGAGGUUGAGCAGUGACGGUGGAGAAUGCUGAAGAGUUAUGAUUUUCCUUUUAUUUUAAGUAGAGGCUCUUGGCGGUGCAUGUCUCCAUACAUGUGACCGUGUUCAUUCCACUGCGUAUUAAGGUUCUAGAUGACAUCGACUGUUACUCUGAUAAUUAUUUAUUAAAAUGUAAGAUUUCCAUUCAAGUUCUGGUGAUUAAGAGUUGAUUUGAAA